AAGUCGUAACAAGGUUUCCGUAGGUGAACCUGCGGAAGGAUCAUUAAAGUGUUUUUGCCGUGCUUGCACGGCUCGGGGGACCGGGUCUAGGCCCAUGUCCCCCUUACCACUGCUCCUAACACCUGUGAACUGUCUGUCCGAGUCCUGGCGUGAGCCUUGGCUUGAACAUUUCUACCAAACUUACUCUGUAAAAAAUGUCAAUCUAUUAUAAAAUAAAUAAAACUUUUAACAACGGAUCUCUUGGCUCUCGCAUCGAUGAAGAACGCAGCGAAAUGCGAUAAGUAAUGUGAAUUGCAGAAUUCAGUGAAUCAUCGAAUCUUUGAACGCAGAUUGCGCUCCUUGGUAUUCCGAGGAGCAUGCCUGUUUGAGUGUCAUGUAAUCAACCACCCCGACUUUUGGUUCGUUCCGAUCGUCCUGGCUGGGAAGUGGGCGCUUGCCUCUGAUGAGGAGGCUCGCCUUAAACACAUGUUGGCCUGACUCUUGUCUAGGGCCGGUUUGACUUGGCGUUAUAAGUUAUUUCGCUGAGGACAUCUUCGGAUGGCCGGACCGACGACUCUGUCUUGUACCAGAGGUGCGAACCUCCUGCGUACACCACAAACACUGACCAAUUGGCCUCAAAUCAGGUAGGACUACCCGCUGAACUUA
rnacentral:rRNA from 1 species